rnacentral:lncRNA from 1 species
UCUGAACCGAACCGAGCCGAAAGUUCAAGUAGUAAAUAGAUCAUAUAGCCUCAUAUCCGAACUAUCUGAUACCCAAAAAUAUCCAAACCGAACCAAUAUCAAAAAUGUCAGGCCUAACUUAGAUAGUCUAGAUAUGUUCAAACUAUAUAGACAAGUGAUCAAUUUAUAGGGUUACUAUAGCUGUUUAGCAUGUAAACUCUAGUUGCUAAAAAAACAUGUAAACUAGACAACUAGUACACAACCCAUGCUUUUGUAAUCCUUUAAAGCCCUCACAAUCUUGUCUAUCUUUGAUCGUGGCACUAGCCGGAACAUGAAUCAGAAACAAUAACAACAAAAUGAAUUGUUAAUGACGAUCACUACAACGUUCUCGCAAGACCU